rnacentral:rRNA from 1 species
UGGGGAAUAUUGCACAAUGGGGGAAACCCUGAUGCAGCCAUGCCGCGUGUGUGAAGAAGGCCUUCGGGUUGUAAAGCACUUUCAGCGAGGAGGAAAGGUUGGUCGCUAAUAACGGCCAACUGUGACGUUACUCGCAGAAGAAGCACCGGCUAACUCCGUGCCAGCAGCCGCGGUAAUACGGAGGGUGCAAGCGUUAAUCGGAAUUACUGGGCGUAAAGCGCACGCAGGCGGUUGGAUAAGUUAGAUGUGAAAGCCCCGGGCUCAACCUGGGAAUUGCAUUUAAAACUGUCCAGCUAGAGUCUUGUAGAGGGGGGUAGAAUUCCAGGUGUAGCGGUGAAAUGCGUAGAGAUCUGGAGGAAUACCGGUGGCGAAGGCGGCCCCCUGGACAAAGACUGACGCUCAUGCACGAAAGCGUGGGGAGCAAACA